GAUGAACGCUAGCGGCAGGCUUAAUACAUGCAAGUCGAGGGGCAGCACAGGUAGCAAUACUGGGUGGCGACCGGCAAACGGGUGCGGAACACGUACACAACUUACCUUCUGGUGGGGGAUAGCCUUUGGAAACGGAGAUUAAUACCCCAUAUUAUAUAUGAGCUGCAUGGUUUGUAUAUUAAAGAUUUAUUGCCGGAAGAUGGGUGUGCGUAUGAUUAGGUAGUUGGCGGGGAAACGGCCCACCAAGCCGACGAUCAUUAACUGGUGUGAGAGCACGACCAGUCACACGGGAACUGAGACACGGGCCCGACUCCUACGGGAGGCAGCAGUAAGGAAUAUUGGUCAAUGGACGGAAGUCUGAACCAGCCAUGCCGCGUGGAGGAUGAAGGUCCUCUGGAUUGUAAACUUCUUUUAUAGGGGGCGAAAAAAGGGAAUUCUUUCUCGUCUGACGGUACCCUAUGAAUAAGCACCGGCUAACUCCGUGCCAGCCGCCGCGGUAACAC
rnacentral:rRNA from 1 species